AUGAACGCUAGCUACAGGCUUAACACAUGCAAGUCGAGGGGCAGCAUGGUCUUAGCUUGCUAAGGCCGAUGGCGACCGGCGCACGGGUGAGUAACGCGUAUCCAACCUGCCUUACACUCUUGGACAGCCUUCUGAAAGGGAGAUUAAUACAAGAUGUUAUCAUGAGUAAGCAUUUUCGCAUGAUUAAAGGUUUACCGGUGUAAGAUGGGGAUGCGUUCCAUUAGAUAGUAGGCGGGGUAACGGCCCACCUAGUCUUCGAUGGAUAGGGGUUCUGAGAGGAAGGUCCCCCACAUUGGAACUGAGACACGGUCCAAACUCCUACGGGAGGCAGCAGUGAGGAAUAUUGGUCAAUGGACGAGAGUCUGAACCAGCCAAGUAGCGUGAAGGAUGAAGGUUCUAUGGAUUGUAAACUUCUUUUAUACGGGAAUAAACGGAUCCACGUGUGGAUUUUUGCAUGUACCGUAUGAAUAAGGAUCGGCUAACUCCGUGCCAGCAGCCGCGGUAAUACGGAGGAUCCGAGCGUUAUCCGGAUUUAUUGGGUUUAAAGGGAGCGUAGAUGGGUUGUUAAGUCAGUUGUGAAAGUUUGCGGCUCAACCGUAAAAUUGCAAUUGAUACUGGCAGUCUUGAGUACAGUUGAGGUAGGCGGAAUUCGUGGUGUAGCGGUGAAAUGCUUAGAUAUCACGAAGAACUCCGAUUGCGAAGGCAGCUUACUAACCUGUAACUGACAUUGAUGCUCGAAAGUGUGGGUAUCAAACAGGAUUAGAUACCCUGGUAGUCCACGCCGUAAACGAUGACUGCUAGGUGUCGGGUGGCAAAGCCAUUCGGUGCCGCAGCUAACGCAAUAAGCAGUCCACCUGGGGAGUACGUUCGCAAGAAUGAAACUCAAAGGAAUUGACGGGGGCCCGCACAAGCGGAGGAACAUGUGGUUUAAUUCGAUGAUACGCGAGGAACCUUACCCGGGCUUAAAUUGCAACCGAAUAUGGCGGAAACGCUAUAGCUAGCAAUAGCGGUUGUGAAGGUGCUGCAUGGUUGUCGUCAGCUCGUGCCGUGAGGUGUCGGCUUAAGUGCCAUGACGAGCGCAACCCUUGCCGAUAGUUACUAACAGGUCAUGCUGAGGACUCUGUCGGGACUGCCAUCGUAAGAUGUGAGGAAGGUGGGGAUGACGUCAAAUCAGCACGGCCCUUACGUCCGGGGCUACACACGUGUUACAAUGGGGGGUACAGAGGGCUGCUACCACGCAAGUGGAUGCCAAUCCCAAAAACCUCUCUCAGUUCGGAUUGAAGUCUGCAACCCGACUUCAUGAAGCUGGAUUCGCUAGUAAUCGCGCAUCAGCCACGGCGCGGUGAAUACGUUCCCGGGCCUUGUACACACCGCCCGUCAAGCCAUGGGAGCCGGGGGUACCUGAAGUGCGUAACCGCAAGGAGCGCCCUAGGGUAAAACUGGUGACUGGGGCU
rnacentral:rRNA from 1 species